rnacentral:rRNA from 1 species
CAAAGAUUUGGUCCUGGUCUUAUUGUCAG